rnacentral:rRNA from 1 species
CCUACGGGAUGCAGCAGUGAGGAAUAUUGGUCAAUGGCCGGAAGGCUGAACCAGCCAUGCCGCGUGAAGGUCAGUGCCCUAUGGGCGUUAAACUUCUUUUGUGCGGGAGCAAUAAUGGUCACGUGUGGCCAGACGAGAGUACCGUACGAAUAAGCAUAGGCUAACUCCGAGCCAGCAGCCGCGGUAAUACGGGGGAUGCAAGCGUUAUCCGGAUUUAUUGGGUUUAAAGGGUGCGUAGGCUGUGAGGUAAGUCAGCGGGGAAAUGCCCCCGCUCAACGGGGUGAAGUGACAUUGAUACUGCCUUGCUGGAAUGCGGAUGCCGUGGGAGGAAUGUGUGGUGUAGCGGUGAAAUGCAUAGAUAUCACACAGAACACCGAUUGCGAAGGCAUCUCACGAAUCCGCGAUUGACGCUGAUGCACGAAAGCGUGGGUAUCAAACAGGAUUAGAUACCCCUGUAGUC